AUCUUGCGCAAUGGCCUAACGGCUGACGCAGCGACGCCGCGUGAGGGAUGACGCUCUUCGGAGUGUAAACCUCUUUUGCCCGGGACGAACUGCCAGUUUUCACUGGCUUGACGGUACCGGGUGAAUAAGCACCGGCUAACUCCGUGCCAGCAGCCGCGGUAAUACGGGGGGUGCGAGCGUUGUCCGGAAUCACUGGGCGUAAAGGGCGCGUAGGUGGUCUGAUAAGGGUGUGGUGAAAGCCCGGGGCUCAACCCCGGGUCGGCCGUGCCGACUGUUGGACUAGAGUGCUGUAGGGGCAGGCGGAAUUCCGGGUGUAGCGGUGGAAUGCGUAGAGAUCCGGAGGAAGACCGGUGGCGAAGGCGGCCUGCUGGGCAGAUACUGACACUGAGGCGCGACAGCGUGGGGAGCAAACAGG
rnacentral:rRNA from 1 species